ACACUCACAGAUGACAGGGCUUGCGGUACCAAAGCCUCUUUAUCUUCCAGACUACAGCUCCUAUUACUGUGAAAACAGGAAAAGACGUAAAAAUCGCACAAAAUGGCAUUGACACUUUGGCGCGGGAACCUCACUUUAGCAGCCAGAAGGUUCCCCACGACCCACCACUGCCUGCCAAGAUGAAUGUAAAUGAAGCAGAAGUCUCACAGGCUGGGCACAGCAGGAAGAAGCAUUCUCAUCAUGGGCACUUAGCUUGCUUGAGAUUACACAGAACCAUGCCUCUGGUUUCCUGGUACAGUGCUCCUGUAGGUGACGGAUGCUCCCGGGUGACAUAUCAUGAAUCUCUCUGAGAUAAGAUCUUCAUGAUUCUAUAUCAUAGGCAUCUCUUUAUCUUCAAGUUGGGCAACAUCAGCAAGGUUCCCAUGAGUAUGUGCCCAGCGAGGCUAUUCUGUUCCUCUCAUCUUUUUUUUUCUACUUGUCCUCGUUUUUCCUGAGAUUUUAUUUCCUUCCUAGCUGGCAUACAUUUCCCUGCUGUGGUAUUCAGACCUAAAUAGUGUGUGCACCUAUUACCUCUGCAGAGUAAUUACUAUUUGGUACCAUGGUAGAGUUUC
rnacentral:antisense_RNA from 1 species